UUGAGUCACGCUGCUGUCGCUGUCCGGGUGGGUGGAGUGAAGGGCGGAGGGUCUGAGUGCAGCCCUCGGGCUGGGGUGACGGUGAUCCGAAGUGGGACUACCCUGGGUGUCGGGCCAGGAUACACAGAGCCUCCGGGACAGAGGGAUGUCAGGCAGAGAUCGGGUCGUGGCUGAAAGUAUACUCAUUGUGGAAGUUUUUUUCUUCGCACCAUCAACUUAUCAAGAGGUUUUAUAACAUCCCUGAAAACAGGGGGACUCCCAGCUCACAGGGAAGAAGCGAAAGAGGAUAUUUUCUUAAUGGAUCAAUCUGAGGAGCAACAGGAGGCCAAAGCCCUCCCAGUUGAGUCUAACUUUGACAGGAAACUACUUCUGAUGAAGAGGAUGUUCAGUCAAGGAACAAGAUAAAUGAAUUCAUAAUGGCUCUAAAGCUUUGCAUUCGACUGUUGGAGGAACGUAAUCGAAAAGUCUGUUUUAAAGAUGCCACGACCAACAAGGCUCAACUACCAACGCUGGAACUGUAACCCUAAUGGAAUUAAGGGGCCUGCAAGCCCAACAUCUCUGUGGAAUCCCAGCAACCGAGGCCCAACCAGGAAACAAGAUCUGACCGCACAGUGACCUAACAUCGAGAAGGACUGACUAGACCGACUGUAAGACCCACUCCUGCUAGAGUGCUCAUGAGCGAGACUGGUGCCCAGGACAUCAUUGGACGCACCUGCUGACCUUGCCAACACUGGAACUGCAUGCCUGACCUCCCUGACUUCAUGGAAACCAAGGAACCAAGUCACAAUCAGCACAGGAACAAGAUCUGACCCCAGGUGACCUGACAUCAAGGAGGCCUGACCAGACCGACUGCAAAACCCCUCCCCCAAGCGCUUGCGAACCUUCUGGCCUCUUGCAGGUCUGACCUUACCAAUGUCAUGGAAACCUAGAGCCAAAGCCCAACCAGUGCGCGAAUACCAUAUGAUACCAUGGCGACGCAACAUCAAAAAAGCCCAAUUGAACCUGCCACAAGACUCCUGGGACCUUCAAGGCUGUGACUGGUGCCCAAGACCCCAUCAGGAACACACUUACCACAUGGAUCAGCAGACUUCCCUUGCCAAAGCCUGGGAUUGUCUAGAAGCAACCAUCUACCCAGGAAAUGUGGGAGACAUGUUGGGUGAGACUGAAACUUCGGGAUUUCAAUCACUCCCACCCAGCACAUUCCUGGCAAAUGUUCAAACUACUGAAAACAAAAUGAAUGAACUUAAAGCUAGACUCCUCUUCCAAAAGGAAUUGUGAGACUGCUGUGUGUUCUGUUCUAAUGGGCAUUUCACCACCACUUACCUGCACUCUCCCCAUAGCCCUUAAUUCCUUGCAAGAUUAAGAAUU